UACGUAGGGUGCGAGCGUUAAUCGGAAUUACUGGGCGUAAAGCGUGCGCAGGCGGUUUUGUAAGCCAGAUGUGAAAGCCCCGGGCUUAACCUGGGAAUGGCAUUUGGGACUGCAAGGCUUGAGUGCGGCAGAGGAGACUGGAAUUCCUGGUGUAGCAGUGAAAUGCGUAGAUAUCAGGAGGAAUACCGAUGGCGAAGGCAGGUCUCUGGGCUGACACUGACGCUCAUGCACGAAAGCAUGGGGAGCGAACAGG
rnacentral:rRNA from 1 species